GAUGAACGCUGGCGGCGUGCCUAAUACAUGCAAGUCGAGCGAAUGGAUUAAGAGCUUGCUCUUAUGAAGUUAGCGGCGGACGGGUGAGUAACACGUGGGUAACCUGCCCAUAAGACUGGGAUAACUCCGGGAAACCGGGGCUAAUACCGGACAACAUUUUGAACCGCAUGGUUCGAAAUUGAAAGGCGGCUUCGGCUGUCACUUAUGGAUGGACCCGCGUCGCAUUAGCUAGUUGGUGAGGUAACGGCUCACCAAGGCAACGAUGCGUAGCCGACCCGAGAGGGUGAUCGGCCACACUGGGACUGAGACACGGCCCAGACUCCUACGGGAGGCAGCAGUAGGGAAUCUGCCGCAAUGGACGAAAGUCUGACGGAGAAACGCCGCGUGAGUGAUGAAGGCUUUCGGGUCGUAAAACUCUGUUGUUAGGGAAGAACAAGUGCUAGUUGAAUAAGCUGGCACCUUGACGGUACCUAACCAGAAAGCCACGGCUAACUACGUGCCAGCCGCCGCAGUAA
rnacentral:rRNA from 1 species